rnacentral:rRNA from 1 species
UACGUAGGGGGCAAGCGUUGUCCGGAUUUAUUGGGCGUAAAGCGCGUGUAGGCGGCCAGGUAGGUCCGCUGUGAAAACCCGAGGCUCAACCUCGGGACGUCGGCGGAAACCCUCUGGCUAGAGUCCGGAAGAGGAGAGUGGAAUUCCUGGUGUAGCGGUGAAAUGCGCAGAUAUCAGGAAGAACACCCGUGGCGAAAGCGGCGCGCUGGACCACUACUGACGCUGAGGAACGAAAGCUAGGGGAGCAAACAGG